GCCCCCAUAGUUCAAUGGAUAGAACGUAGUCCUCCGGAGACCAAGAUGGAAGUUCGACUCUUCCUGGGGGCACAA
rnacentral:tRNA from 1 species